CUCUUAUUCACUCUCAUCUGAUUUUUUAAGACCAUUCAAAGUGUUCUCUCAAUAUUCAACCUCAAGAACACCAAGGAAAACUUGGAGGCUAAGUCUUGGUCUAGGAAGUAUUUUCCCUAAGUUGGUUAGGGUUUUUGAAAGGUUUUGGAGGAGCCAAAGCUAAUAGGAAGGUCCAAACCUUAAGCAAGAACACCAAAGAGGUCAGUGCAAGGGCAAGGCAGAGCAGUGAGCGCUGGAGUCUUCCUUGCAAAUGUACAUGUGGACCGACCUUUUGGAA